CUACGGGCGGCAGCAGUGAGGAAUAUUGCACAAUGGGGGGAACCCUGAUGCAGCAACGCCGCGUGGAGGAUGACGCAUUUCGGUGUGUAAACUCCUUUUAUAUGUCAAGAAAAUGACGGUAGCAUAUGAAUAAGCACCGGCUAACUCCGUGCCAGCAGCCGCGGGAAUACGGAGGGUGCAAGCGUUACUCGGAAUCACUGGGCGGAAAGGACGCGUAGGCGGGUUGGAAAGUCAGGUGUGAAAUCCUACAGCUUAACUGUAGAACUGCACUUGAAACUUCUAAUCUUGAGUAUGGGAGGGGGAGAUGGAAUUAGUGGUGUAGGGGUAAAAUCCGUAGAUAUCACUAGGAAUACCUAAAGCGAAGGCGAUCUCCUGGAACAUUACUGACGCUAAGGCGUGAAAGCGUGGGGAGCAAACAGGAUUAGAUACCCGCGUAGUC
rnacentral:rRNA from 1 species